rnacentral:rRNA from 1 species
AGAGUUUGAUCAUGGCUCAGAAUCAACGCUGGCGGCGUGCCUCAGACAUGCAAGUCGAACGCGAAAGUCUCCUUCGGGGGACAAGUAGAGUGGCGUCCGGGUGAGUAACACGUAGGUAAUCUACCUUCGGGUGGGGAAUAACGCAGGGAAACUUGCGCUAAUACCGCAUAAUGCAGCAGCACCACAUGGUGACAGUUGUUAAAGCGGGGGAUUUUCGAACCUCGCGCCUGAAGAGGAGCCUGCGGCAGAUUAGCUAGUUGGUAGGGUAACGGCUUACCAAGGCGACGAUCUGUAGCCGGCCUGAGAGGGCGGUCGGUCACACUGACACUGACAUACGGGUCAGACUCCUACGGGAGGCAGCAGUCGGGAAUUUUGGGCAAUGGGCGAAAGCCUGACCCAGCAACGCCGCGUGAAGGAUGAAAUCCCUCGGGAUGUAAACUUCGCAAGAAUAGGAAGAAUGAACGAGCGCUAACACCGUUCGUGAUGACGGUACUAUUUGUAAGCUCCGGCUAACUCCGUGCCAGCAGCCGCGGUAAUACGGGGGGAGCAAGCGUUGUUCGGAUUUACUGGGCGUAAAGGGCGCGUAGGCGGCCAGCGCAAGUCAGUUGUGAAAUCUCCGGGCUUAACUCGGAACGGUCAACUGAUACUGCGCGGCUAGAGUGCGGAAGGGGCAACUGGAAUUCUCGGUGUAGCGGUGAAAUGCGUAGAUAUCGAGAGGAACACCUGCGGCGAAAGCGGGUUGCUGGGCCGACACUGACGCUGAUGCGCGAAAGCCAGGGGAGCGAACGGGAUUAGAUACCCCGGUAGUCCUGGCCUUAAACGAUGGAUGCUUGGUGUCUGGAGUUUUAUAGUCUCCGGUGCCGCAGCUAACGCGUUAAGCAUCCCGCCUGGGGAGUACGUCGCAGACUGAAACUCAAGGAAUUGACGGGGACCCGCACAAGCGUGGAGCAUGUGUUCAAUUCGACGCAACGCGAAGAACCUUACCUGGGCUAGA